rnacentral:rRNA from 1 species
GUUAUAGGGUCAAGCGAACAAGUGCAUGUGGUGGAUGCCUUGGCGAUCACAGGCGAUGAAGGACGCGGUAGCCUGCGAAAAGCUUCGGGGAGCUGGCAAACAAGCUUUGAUCCGGAGAUGUCCGAAUGGGGAAACCCGGCCCGUAUGGGUCAUCCGUAACUGAAUCCAUAGGUUACGGAAGCGAACGCGGCGAACUGAAACAUCUAAGUAGCUGCAGGAACAGAAAUCAACCGAGAUUCCCAAAGUAGUGGCGAACGAAAUGGGAAGAGCCUUGUACUCUUUAGCAGCAUUGUUAGCAGAACGGGAUGGAAAGCCCGGCCAUAGCAGGUGAUAGCCCUGUAUGCGAAAACAGCGUUGUGGAACUAGGUGUACGACAAGUAGGGCGGGACACGUGAAAUCC